CUUGAAUAACUAUAAGAGGUCCAGCCUGCCCAGUGACUUUGUUCAACGGCCGCGGUAUCCUAACCGUGCGAAGGUAGCGUAAUCACUUGUCUUUUAAAUGGGGACUUGUAUGAAUGGCAUCACGAGGGUUAUACUGUCUCCUUUUUCUAAUCAGUGAAACUAAUCUUCCCGUGAAGAAGCGGGAAUAAACAUAUAAGACGAGAAGACCCUAUGGAGCUUUAAACUUAAUAACAAAUACUAAGCUUACACCAACCUUCAGAGUAUUAACCUUAAUUUUAGUAUUAUGAUUAUUAGUUUUAGGUUGGGGUGACCGCGGAGUAAAAAUUAACCUCCACAUUGAACGGGACCUGUCCCUGAGCCAAGAACUACAGCUCGAAGCACCAACAAAUUGACAUUAAUUGACCCAAUAUUUUGAUCAACGAAC
rnacentral:rRNA from 1 species